rnacentral:rRNA from 1 species
GAUGAACGCUGGCGGCGUGCUUAACGCAUGCAAGUCGAACGAAGCACCUUGAUUCGAUUCUUCGGAUGAAGAUCUUGGUGACUGAGUGGCGGACGGGUGAGUAACGCGUGGGUAACCUGCCUCAUACAGGGGGAUAACAGUUAGAAAUGACUGCUAAUACCGCAUAAGACCACAGCACCGCAUGGUGCAGGGGUAAAAACUCCGGUGGUAUGAGAUGGACCCGCGUCUGAUUAGGUAGUUGGUGGGGUAACGGCCUACCAAGCCGACGAUCAGUAGCCGACCUGAGAGGGUGACCGGCCACAUUGGGACUGAGACACGGCCCAAACUCCUACGGGAGGCAGCAGUGGGGAAUAUUGCACAAUGGGGGAAACCCUGAUGCAGCGACGCCGCGUGAGCGAUGAAGUAUUUCGGUAUGUAAAGCUCUAUCAGCAGGGAAGAAAAUGACGGUACCUGACUAAGAAGCACCGGCUAAAUACGUG